AUGCACGCUGGCGGCGUGCUUAACCCCUGCCAGUCGAACGGAAAGGCCCAAGCUUGCUUGGGUACUCGAGUGGCGAACGGGUGAGUAACACGUGGGUGAUCUGCCCUGCACUUCGGGAUAAGCCUGGGAAACUGGGUCUAAUACCGGAUAGGACCACUUCUUGGAUGUUGUGGUGGAAAGUUUUUUCGGUGUGGGAUGAGCUCGCGGCCUAUCAGCUUGUUGGUGGGGUAAUGGCCUACCAAGGCGUCGACGGGUAGCCGGCCUGAGAGGGUGUACGGCCACAUUGGGACUGAGAGACAGGCCAGAGUCCUACGGGAGGCAGCAGUGGGGAAUAUUGGACAAUGGGCGCAAGCCUGAUGCAGCGACGCCUCGUGGGUGAUGACGGCCUUCGGGUUGUAAACACCUUUCGCUAGGGACGAAGCGUUUUUGUGACGGUACCUGGAGAAGAAGCACCGGCUAACUACGUG
rnacentral:rRNA from 1 species